rnacentral:rRNA from 1 species
UGGGUAACCUGCCUCAAAGAGGGGAAUAGCCUCUCGAAAGGGAGAUUAAUACCGCAUAAUAUGUUUAAGUCGCAUGACUUUAACAUCAAAGGAUUUUCUUUUAAGAAAUUCCACUUUGAGAUGGACCCCGCGGCGCAUUAGCUAGUUGGUGAGGUAACGGCUCACCAAGGCAACGAUGCGUAGCCGACCUGAGAGGGUNAUCGGCCACAUUGGAACUGAGACACGGUCCAGACCUCUACGGGAG